GACGAACGCUGGCGGCGUGCUUAACACAUGCAAGUCGAACGGAAAGGCCCUGCUUUUGUUGGGUGCUUGAGUGGCGAACGGGUGAGUAACACGUGAGUAACCUGCCCUUGACUUUGGGAUAACUUCAGGAAACUGGGGCUAAUACCGGAUAGGAGCUCCUGCUGCAUGGGGGGGGUUGGAAAGUUUCGGCGGUGGGGGAUGGACUCGCGGCUUAUCAGCUGGUUUGUGGGGUAGUGGCUUACCAAGGCUUUGACGGGUAGCCGGCCUGAGAGGGUGACCGGCCUCAUUGCGCCUGAGAUACGGACCAGACUCCUACCGGCGGCAGAAGUCGGGAAUCUUACACAAUGGGCCGGCGCCUGAUGCAGCAACCCCGCGUGCGGGAUGACCUCCUUCGGGUUGUAAACCUCUUUCGCCUGUACCGAGGCGUGCGUGACGGUAAUUGGUAAAAAAGCCCCGGCUAACUACGUG
rnacentral:rRNA from 1 species